CGAAAUCAGCAUCUGCCUUCCCUAUGUCAAAUAGUAUGUAAAAAUAUAAAAGCUCUGCCUAUAGAAUUAUAUUAUUUUGAAUUUCCUAUUCAAAAUUACUUUUAUCAUAAAGUGAUUACUGGUAUCUCAAAAUAAGGCAAACUAAUGCACCAGAAUAAUGAGAAAUUACAAUUGAUUUUAGAAAGUUCUUUAAACAAGUUUGCUGCCAUGUGGAAACAAGUUGAAACAAGAAGGUAUCCAAAUGAUUGUUGUGCCUCGUUGCUGGAACCUAAUUAUUCAUAUUCCCUUGAUGUCAUCACAUGACAUCACUGAAGUCAGAAGUCAACCCC